UGGGGAGCAAACAGGAUUAGAUACCCUGGUAGUCCACGCCCUAAACGAUGCGAACUGGAUGUUGGGUGCAAUUUGGCACGCAGUAUCGAAGCUAACGCGUUAAGUUCGCCGCCUGGGGAGUACGGUCGCAAGACUGAAACUCAAAGGAAUUGACGGGGGCCCGCACAAGCGGUGGAGUAUGUGGUUUAAUUCGAUGCAACGCGAAGAACCUUACCUGGCCUUGACAUGUCGAGAACUUUCCAGAGAUGGAUUGGUGCCUUCGGGAACUCGAACACAGGUGCUGCAUGGCUGUCGUCAGCUCGUGUCGUGAGAUGUUGGGUUAAGUCCCGCAACGAGCGCAACCCUUGUCCUUAGUUGCCAGCACGUAAUGGUGGGAACUCUAA
rnacentral:rRNA from 1 species